rnacentral:lncRNA from 1 species
GCCUUCCUGGCUGCCAGAAGCUUAACACAAACAGCGCAUCUUGGAUCCAGUUCCUCGCAACGCCACAAAGUGUGGUCAGGAAUGUCUUUUCAGUGGCUCUAUUGUUACUAACGUUUACGACAAGUCAAUGUCUCUCGAUUUUUCUCUGGAAAACACACACACAUACACACACACAUUUUUUCUCUGGAACACACACACACACGCGCGCUUUGACUUACGGUUGGCACUACCAUUUAAAAUAUUUUUAUUUGUAUGUUUAAAGUCUUUUCUAGCACCACCACCUUUCCCUGUAUUUAUAUGUGCUGUUGCAUUGCCCCAUCAUUGUUUAAUAUGUAUCACCCUCUCUCUCCACCCCAUAAAUAGCAAAUUCCUCAAGGACAGCGAUGAUGCCAGCUCCUCAUUCUGCAACCCCUGUUGCACAAGGCUGUAUAAACAGGAAAUGUGAGUGCUUUGACGAUUAAUAAUUUGGUCCAUAUGUUCCCUGAAACAUUUACAACCCAGGAACACUGGAAAUAAGUGACCAACUACAGGAAAAAACUUUGGUAAAUUACCGUCCUUGAAAAAACAUAACAGUUAUUAAAAAUGAGACUUGGGAAUCUACAAUAAUGUGGGGAAACACUUAUGCUACAAUGUU